UGCAACUUAACGCCCGGUUAAGACUCGGUUUCCCUCCGGCUCCCCUAUACGGUUAACCUUGCUACAGAAUAUAAGUCGCUGACCCAUUAUACAAAAGGUACGCAGUCACACAGGUAAACCUGUGCUCCCACUGCUUGUACGUACACGGUUUCAGGUUCUUUUUCACUCCCCUCGCCGGGGUUCUUUUCGCCUUUCCCUCACGGUACUGGUUCACUAUCGGUCAGUCAGGAGUAUUUAGCCUUGGAGGAUGGUCCCCCCAUAUUCAGACAGGAUACCACGUGUCCCGCCCUACUCAUCGAGCUCACAGCACAUGCGCUUUUGUGUACGGGGCUGUCACCCUGUAUCGCGCGCCUUUCCAGACGCUUCCACUAACACACAUGCUGAUUCAGGCUCUGGGCUCCUCCCCGUUCGCUCGCCGCUACUGGGGGAAUCUCGGUUGAUUUCUUUUCCUCGGGGUACUUAGAUGUUUCAGUUCCCCCGGUUCGCCUCAUUAACCUAUGGAUUCAGUUAAUGAUAGUGUGACGAAUCACACUGGGUUUCCCCAUUCGGAAAUCGCCGGUUAUAACGGUUCAUAUCACCUUACCGGCGCUUAUCGCAGAUUAGCACGUCCUUCAUCGCCUCUGACUGCCAGGGCAUCCACCGUGUACGCUUAGUCGCUUAACCUCACAACCCGAAGAUGUUUCUUACGAUUCAUCAUCGUGUUGCGAAAAUUUGAGAAACUCACGAACAACUUUCGUUGUUCUGUGUUUCAAUUUUCAGCUUGAUCCAGAUUUUUAAAGAGCAAA
rnacentral:rRNA from 1 species